AUGGUGAGUGCAGUCCUAAGGAUGAUGGGAAAUGUUUCUGUGUCGACUCUGACUCGUCCGAAAGAAAUCCUGAAGGAGACGAAGAAAACCAUCUACAGCAAACCUCCCCGAAACAAGAUCAGCGCUGCGCAAAGUUUCUUCGUCAUGUCUGUGUUCACGGUGGCCAUGUUGACCCCAGCUGCCUGGAUUCUUCAUCACCUGCCGGAGUACCGCCAGAGGGCCCGCCAGAGACCCAAAACCUGAACAUCAUCAUCUUCAUCAUCUUUUCAUUUUGUCAUGAAUAGAAGUUGUUUUAAAAUCUGCAGGUUUCAAUAUUAAAGUGUGAACACAGUUUUAAUGCGACCGAAGCUUCUGCACACAUCGUCUCACCUGAACAGAGCUGUCACUUCAAAAUAAAAGCUUCCUGGCUCUCUUGUCGUGGUCUUUCAUUGUGUCUUUCUAACCUGUUGAACUGGAUGUUGGAUCGUCUCUUCUUCUUCUCACUGUGGUACAAACAGGAAGUGAAGAUAAAAAUAAAGCUCCAGCCUGUGUGUUUGUGUUUGAGCAGGAAGUCUCUGUUUGUUUAGUUUACUCGGCUGGAUUUUCAGAGUUAAUCACUUCCUGUUUGACUACAUCAGUUCCCACAGAGAGUCUGAGCUCACAGGAAGACAGACGUCUUCAUCGUGUUUAAAGAAAAUCUUCAUCAGUUUCCAUCCUGGACCAGAAGUGAGGGGACAUGUUCAUCAUCAUCAUCAUCAUCAUCAUCAUCAUCAUUAUCUUCAUGUCAUAAUGAAAUUGUUUGUGUUCAGGAAAAAAAGGUAAAUCUCAAAUUUUCGUAUUUAACUUAAAAUACACUCUGGUUGUUAUUGUUAUUCAGUAAUUUGGAUGUCUUUUUCAGAUUUUCAACCUGUGACUGGAGACACCGGCCAAUCACAGUUCAUGUCAGAGAGGGCAGUUCCCAUUGGCUGUUCCACAUCAGGUGACUCUUAACAGAAACUCAAACUGUUUCACAUCUUUGAAAAUUAUAUAAAACAUAGAAAGUGUGUGAACAGACACACAGCUGCACACUCAUCAUGUAUGAUGUCAUCAAGUGUGUGUGUGUGUGUGUGUGUUUGACCUUCGUGGUCAUUUGUCCUUGAGUCUAAAUUCUUCUAAAAUAAUAAUCAUUAUCACACGGCUCUUCUUAAUGCUGUAGAAUGCUCCAUUCACUUGAAUGAGCCUUCCCAACGUUUGGCGGUCAAUUAUUUUCGUAUAAUUGAGCGUUGCUAAGCAUAUUUGACCGUCGUCAAGGAAAGUGGCCUUUUUGCCUCUGAUUCAUGUAUUUCGUAAAAUCUUUGCUCUGCAAGUAGUCCGGUCACUUUUCACCCCAGCGUCUUCAGUCGCUAAGCGUCAGCUGAUCUGUAGUCUACUUCACAUUAACUUUAAUAUUUUUGGAAAAUACGGUGAUUUCAACUCUUGCAAAAGGCUGAGUUGUCGUCACCGGUCAAGAAAAGAAAAAGAGAGGAAAGCAGCGAAGAGGGAGAAGAGAAAUGGCGUCUGUUUGGCGAACUAUAUUUCUCUGCUGAAAAACACUAUGAACAAAUAAACUGUAAAAAGACACUGUGUCAAGUUUUCUUGUGUGUUGGCAAGUAACCGUGUAAUAAGCGGGAUGAUGUGUAGAACAGCGGUCACUAUCGGGAAAAUAUUUGUGAUCCGGACCCCGACAUAAUCAAUGAAGUCAUCGUCAGACAAACACUAACAGAUUGAUCUGUUUAAUUUCUGAGUGAUUAUUAACUAAGUCACACCUCAUAAACAGACGGACCUGGUUCUGCAGCUCCUCAUGUACAGAGUCCUCGCUGCAGCGGACCAGCUGCAGGCCGCCCUGGUCGUCCCCCCUUUCAAUGCUGUCCUAUUAAUAAAGCCAUAACAGGCCAAAAUAAAAAGUAAAAUAAAAAAAGACAAACCAAAGAGACGUGUCACCUCAAACAUCACCUUUUAAUUCACAUCAAACAACGAACACGACGACACAGCUGAAAAACAUGGAGGUCAUAUAGAGGUCAUGUGACUCAGUUUCUACCGAACACUGGAUAUAAAUCUUUGCUUAUCUUCUCCAGAUAUUUGAAUUAUACAUGCAUCAUACAUCUGUUAUACAUGCACACACACACUCACACAGACAAGGCUCUCCAAAUCCCAGCUAAUCCACUGACAGCCAAAUCUCAGUUCACUAAUCAAUUUAGUAGUAUCCAUGCUUACAAGUGGGAAAAAGAAAGUUACAGGAAUAUCAAUUUAUAUGAUAAAUAUAUAAGAUACAACAACAAAUAAGAAUGAAAAAGUGAGUGAGAAAUGAGAAGAAAAUAAGAUAAUGAAAAUAAUAAUAGUAAUAAUAAUAAUAAUAAUAAUAAUAAUAAUGAUAAAAAUAAAUGAAUAAGAGUAAGAACAAACACAAAAUAACACGAACAAGGAGUUUGCAAAUGGGUUAGAAGUGAUGCUUUGAAACCAUGAAGUGAAGUAGUAGACCUAAGCUGGCAUGGGAGAUUAUUCCAAUCAGACGGAGCUUUGAACUGGAAUGAACGGCGACCAAAUUCUUUAAAUAUUCUAGGAGUGCGGAAAAAGAGGUGGUCAGUAUGUCUUAGGUUGUAUUAGAUAUCUUUUGUCUUUCAUCAGGAACGCUUUAAAUUGUAAUUUUUAUUGUAUGUUCUCUUCAGCAGCUGAUAGUUUGACUCUCAUUUCACUCUGUAAAUCACAGAGUUGUUGUUCCAUCCUGUCUUUGUCUUCUUUCCUCAGAUGGUCCUGAAAACCAGAAAACAGAUAAAUAAUCAGUUUCUUUUUUAUAUACAAACAUACAUGAAUACAUAUAUACAUAUACAUGUAUAUAUAUAUGAUCUGAAGAUUGUAUGACAGAGCAGGUGAUUUGAG
ensembl:lncRNA